AUGGCUCAGGAUGAACGCUAGCGACAGGCUUAACACAUGCAAGUCGAGGGGCAUCACGGGAGUAGCAAUACAACUGGUGGCGACCGGCGCACGGGUGAGUAACGCGUAUGCAACCUACCUAUCAGAGGGGAAUAACCCGGCGAAAGUCGGACUAAUACCGCAUAAAACAGGGGCACCGCAUGGUGAUAUUUGUUAAAGAAAUUCGCUGAUAGAUGGGCAUGCGUUCCAUUAGGUAGUUGGUGAGGUAACGGCUCACCAAGCCGACGAUGGAUAGGGAACUGAGAGGUUGGUCCCCCACACUGGUACUGAGACACGGACCAGACUCCUACGGGAGGCAGCAGUGAGGAAUAUUGGUCAAUGGGCGGGAGCCUGAACCAGCCAAGUCGCGUGAAGGAAGAAGGAUCUAUGGUUCGUAAACUUCUUUUGCAGGGGAAUAAAGUGCAGGACGUGUCCUGUUUUGUAUGUACCCUGAGAAUAAGGAUCGGCUAACUCCGUGCCAGCCGCCGC
rnacentral:rRNA from 1 species